ensembl:lncRNA
CAUACUUCGUCUUGCACCUCCUUCUGCCAGCUGCCGGGGACAAUCAGACAAAAUUGUCCGCAGAAUUCUCAAUCAACCAAUCAACCAUCUGCAAUAAUAGCUGGGACAAAAGAUGAUAUAAGACCUCCAGAGAGCUGAGCAAAAAAGGCGAUGCUGUGACAAGUGAAGCAAACAGUGUAGCAAACUGAUGGGAUGGAGCUGCUCUUAACAGCCCGACACUGACAGAACAAAAUUGAGAAACCUGGAUCAGCAGUUCUUGAAAAUGGGAUGUGGGACCAGGUCAGGGUGGACCAUGGCCAUGAGUUUUACUUGUCCCUCUACAUGCAGGAGAUGCUGUCUAACCACAGACACAACUUGCAAAGGCAACCAUAUCGCCAAACUCAGUCAACAAAGAAUCAUACAGUAGAGUGAAUGUGGGUAGAGAUAAAUAACAGGGUAAAUUACCCAGUGAAGGAGGCCCUCAUGCAGCUGCAGGAUCAGGAAGUCCUCAACAUGGACGACAACAUGACUAGAUACUGCACAUCUAACCUUACUGCUGAGCUGUGCAAGAUUGGCAUAGCAAGAGCUGUACAUGCAUGGAAUGCACACAGAAUCCCAG